rnacentral:rRNA from 1 species
UACGGUGGGGGCAAGCGUUGUUCGGAAUUACUGGGCGUAAAGGGCGCGUAGGCGGUUCGUUAAGUCGGAUGUGAAAACUCUGGGCUCAACCCAGAGCCUGCAUCCGAAACUGGCGGGCUAGAGUUCUGGAGGGGGUAGCGGAAUUCCUGGUGUAGCGGUGAAAUGCGUAGAUAUCAGGAGGAACACCGGUGGCGAAGGCAGCUACCUGGACAGAAACUGACGCUGAGGCGCGAAAGCUAGGGGAGCAAACAGG